GAUGAACGCUGGCGGCGUGCCUAAUACAUGCAAGUCGAGCGAACGGACGAGAAGCUUGCUUCUCUGACGUUAGCGGCGGACGGGUGAGUAACACGUGGAUAACCUACCUAUAAGACUGGGAUAACUUCGGGAAACCGGAGCUAAUACCGGAUAAUAUUUUGAACCGCAUGGUUCAAAAGUGAAAGACGGUCUUGCUGUCACUUAUAGAUGGAUCCGCGCUGCAUUAGCUAGUUGGUAAGGUAACGGCUUACCAAGGCAACGAUGCAUAGCCGACCUGAGAGGGUGAUCGGCCACACUGGAACUGAGACACGGUCCAGACUCCUACGGGAGGCAGCAGUAGGGAAUCUUCCGCAAUGGGCGAAAGCCUGACGGAGCAACGCUGCGUGAGUGAUGAAGGUCUUCGGAUCGUAAAACUCUGUUAUUAGGGAAGAACAUAUGUGUAAGUAACUGUGCACAUCUUGACGGUACCUAAUCAGAAAGCCACGGCUAACUACGUG
rnacentral:rRNA from 1 species